GACGAACGCUGGCGGCGUGCCUAAUACAUGCAAGUCGAGCGAAGCGGCGGACGUGUUAGUAACCCGUGUGUAACCUGCCCUUAAGUCUGGGAUACCAUUUGGAAACAGUUGCUAAUACCGGCUACUAAAGGAUGGCCCUUCGAUGCAUUAGCUAGUUGGUAAGGUAACGGCUUACCAAGGCGAUGAUGCAUAGCCGAGUUGAGAGACUGAUCGGCGACAUUGGGACUGAGACACGGCCCAAAAUCCUACGGGAGGCAGCAGUAGGGAAUCUUCCACAAUGGACGAAAGUCUGAUGGAGCAACGCCGCGUGAGUGAAGAAGGUUUUCGGAUCGUAAAGCUCUGUUGUUGGUGAAGCGGUAAUCAACCAGAAAGUCACGGCUAACUACGUGCCAGCAGCCGCGGUAAUUC
rnacentral:rRNA from 1 species